rnacentral:rRNA from 1 species
AGCGAACGCUGGCGGCAUGCCUAACACAUGCAAGUCGAACGGACCCUUCGGGGUUAGUGGCGGACGGGUGAGUAACACGUGGGAACGUGCCUUUAGGUUCGGAAUAGCUCCUGGAAACGGGUGGUAAUGCCGAAUGUGCCCUUCGGGGGUAAGAUUUAUCGCCUUUAGAGCGGCCCGCGUCUGAUUAGCUAGUUGGUGAGGUAAUGGCUCACCAAGGCGACGAUCAGUAGCUGGUCUGAGAGGAUGACAAGCCACAUUGGGACUGAGACAGGGCCCAAACUCCUACGGGAGGCAGCAGUGGGGAAUCUUGCGCAAUGGGCGAAAGCCUGACGCAGCCAUGCCGCGUGGAUGAUGAAGGUCUUAGGAUUGUAAAAUCCUUUCACCGGUGAAGAUAAUGACUGUAGCCGGAGAAGAAGCCCCGGCUAACUUCGUGCCAGCCGCCGCAGUAAAAC